AUCUUCUCCCGUGCGACCGCCAGCUCGACUUUAAGGGGCUGAUCUUGGAAGCCUGAGUCCACGAUCGAUCACUGGCACGUUUCCGGAGUUCCUCAAGCUCCAUGAUGAAGUCGGCUUUCCUUUUGGUGUAUUUCAUGAGACUUUUCCUGUGGAGGUCUCGAAACUGAGUAGCCUCCACGGUGACCUCUGAAUGGCUCUCCUUCAACCGAUGAAGUUCGUCUUCCAGCCUCUUGGAUUUCCUUGUCAACUGACGAACUUCCUUUUGAAGGUCUCAUAUCAUCAACUUCAAGGGAAUACCCUCUGGCAGGGGA
rnacentral:lncRNA from 1 species